CAGGACGAACGCUGGCGGCAUGCCUAAUACAUGCAAGUCGAGCGGACUUGAAGAGAAGCUUGCUUCUCUGAUGGUUGGCCGCGGACCGGUGCGUAACACGUAGGCAACCUGCCCUCAAGUUUGGGACAACUACCGGAAACGGUAGCUAAUACCGAAUAAUUGUUUUCUUCGCCUGAAGCGAACUGGAAAGACGGAGCAAUCUGUCACUUGGGGAUCGGCCUGCGGCGCAUUAGCUAGUUGGUGAGGUAACGGCUCACCAAGGCGACGAUGCGUAGCGGACCUGAGAGGGUGAUCGGCCACACUGGGACUGAGACACGGCCCAGACUCCUACGGGAGGCAGCCGUAGGGAAUCUUCCGCAAUGGGCGAAAGCCUGACGGAGCAAUGCCGCGUGAGUGAUGAAGUUUUUCGGAUCGUAAAGCUCUGUUGCCAGGGAAGAACGCUUGGGAGAGUAACUGCUCUCAAGGUGACGGUACCUGAGAAGAAAGCCCCGGCUAACUACGUGCCAGCAGCCGCGGUAAUACGCAGGGGGCAAGCGUUGUCCGGAAUUAUUGGGCGUAAAGCGCGCGCAGGCGGUCAUUUAAGUCUGGUGUUUAAUCCCGGGGCUCAACCCCGGAUCGCACCGGAAACUGGGUGACUUGAGUGCAGAAGAGGAGAGUGGAAUUCCACGUGUAGCGGUGAAAUGCGUACAUAUGUGGAGGAACACCAGUGGCGAAGGCGACUCUCUGGGCUGUAACUGACGCUGAGGCGCGAAA
rnacentral:rRNA from 1 species